UGUCUUUUUGUGAGCUGCAGUGUUAACCUCCUGCAGGGAAAUUCACAAGUCUUCACAAACCUGAAGUUUUUUUUUUUUUUUUUUUUACCUAAAAGUAACUGGAGGGGUUUUCUGACUAUUUGCCUGGAGACAAAGGUGUUAAGGUUUUUUUUUUUUUUUUUUUUUCCUGUAGGCUGACAAUCACUAUGAGAGAAUAUAGGUAUCCUAUUACAGCACAGCAUAAUUUUAAAAGCC